rnacentral:rRNA from 1 species
AUGCGCCGCAGUUCUAUCACUGCCAGAUGCACCUCCUCCAGCCUCUCGCUCGCUCCCUCCCACCAUAUUCGCUUGGUGACGACCAAGAACGGCCGCCUACAAAUGUUGUCGUCAACCUUCCCACUACCUCCGGAUGAUUGUCACCGUCAACGUGCCCGCCGCUGCCGUCACUCGACCGCCAUCGCAUCCUUAUCUGAGUGCCACCCUUCCCAUCCAGUCGGUAUGAGUUUGCCUUGCUCGGAUCAAAGCAUUAGGCCGAGGAAAAUGAAGAACGCAAGUUUGCUUCCUGGGGUGGCAGUCCUGCGAUGUUGGUGUGGCGAUCUUUGCAAGGUGAAGGAGGUGACGGAUUUUUCAGAUUGGUUGGGCAUGAAGUUUUUCAUGUGCGCCAAUUAUGAGGAAUAUCCCGCCGUAGCUAUUUCAGAGUACGACAAGCCUCCGUCUCCUCCGCCUCUGUGCAUGUACUAUUAUUGGAUUGACACGGAGAAGCCGGCUUGGGCAGUGACUGAGAUUCGUGAAAGAAGUCGCCGUGCGUGGAAUAGUUUAUUUGCGGAAGAGCGACACGAGAAGGCGGAAGCUGAGGAGAAAGCAGAGCAAGAGAGAGAGUUAAAAGAAUACUAUGCGAAGCAACACCGUUUUUUUGAGGAAAUGGGAAAGAAAAACAGGGAAGAGGCUCGUCGCAUGGAGGGGCAGGAACGAAAGCGAAAGGAGGCUCGUGAGGCAGAGAGGCAGAGAAAGAAAGAAAGGGCUCGUCAGGCUAAGGCAACAGAAGAAGCUGGCGAUGGAAAAGGAAAAUAUCCACGCUGGACUCAGUAG